UACGUAGGUGACCAGCGUUGUCCGGAUUUACUGGGCGUAAAGAGCGCGCAGGCGGUCGUUCAAGUCGAGUGUGAAAGCCUCCGGCUCAACUGGGGAGGGUCACUCGAUACUGAUCGACUUGAAGGCAGGAGAGGGAAGCGGAAUUCCCGGUGUAGUGGUGAAAUGCGUAGAUAUCGGGAGGAACACCAGUGGCGAAGGCGGCUUCCUGGCCUGUUCUUGACGCUGAGGCGCGAAAGCUAGGGGAGCAAACGGG
rnacentral:rRNA from 1 species